GAUGAACGCUGGCGGCGUGCCUAAUACAUGCAAGUCGAGCGAACGGACGAGAAGCUUGCUUCUCUGAUGUUAGCGGCGGACGGGUGAGUAACACGUGGAUAACCUACCUAUAAGACUGGGAUAACUUCGGGAAACCGGAGCUAAUACCGGAUAAUAUUUUGAACCGCAUGGUUCAAAAGUAAAAGACGGUCUUGCUGUCACUUAUAGAUGGAUCCGCGCUGCAUUAGCUAGUUGGUAAGGUAACGGCUUACCAAGGCAACGAUGCAUAGCCGACCUGAGAGAGUGAUCGGCCACACUGGAACUGAGACACGGUCCAGACUACUACGGGAGGCAGCAGUAGGGAAUCUUCCGCAAUGGGCGAAAGCCUGACGGAGCAACGCCGAGUGAGUGAUGAAGGUCUUCGGAUCGUAAAACUCUGUUAUUAGGGAAGAACAUAUGUGUAAGUAACUGUGCACAUCUUGACGGUACCUAAUCAGAAAGCCACGGCUAACUACGUG
rnacentral:rRNA from 1 species